UACGUAGGUGGCAAGCGUUGUCCGGAUUUAUUGGGUUUAAAGGGUGCGUAGGCGGUCUUAUAAGUCAGUGCUGAAAUAUCCCGGCUUAACCGGGAGGGUGGCAUUGAUACUGUAGGACUUGAGUAAAGUUGAGGUUGGCGGAAUUGACGGUGUAGCGGUGAAAUGCUUAGAUAUCGUCAAGAACACCGCUAGUGUAGACAGCUAACUAAGCUUUAACUGACGCUGAGGCACGAAAGUGUGGGGAUCAAACAGG
rnacentral:rRNA from 1 species